rnacentral:rRNA from 1 species
UGGGCGUGAAAGCUCCGGGCCCAACCCGGAGAGGUCGAUCAAUACUGCGUGUCUAGAGGGUGUCAGAGGGGAGUGGAAUUUCCGGAGUAGCGGUAAAAUGCGCAGAGAUCGGAAAGAACACCAAUGGCGAAGGCAGCUCCCUGGGGCAACCCUGACGCUAAGAGACGAAAGCUAGGGGAGCGAACAGGAUUAGAGACCCUGGUAGUCCUAGCCCUAAACGAUGGAUGCUGGAUGUGGGGCCAUAGCGCUCCGUGUCGAAGCGAACGCGUUAAGCAUCCCGCCUGGGGACUACGGCCGCAAGGUUAAAACUCAAACGAAUUGACGGGACCCCGCACAAGCAGCGGAGCGUGUGGUUUAAUUCGAUGCUACACGAAGAACCUUACCUGGGUUUGACAUCUAGGUGGUAGUGAAGCGAAAGCGGAGCGACCCUUCGGGGAGCCUAGACAGGUGCUGCAUGGCUGUCGUCAGCUCGUGCCGUGAGGUGUCGGGUUAAGUCCCGUAACGAGCGCAACCCUUGCCCUCCGUUAUACGUGUCAGAGGGGACUGCCGGCGGUAAGCCGGAGGAAGGUGGGGAUGACGUCAAGUCAGCAUGGCCUUUAUAUCCAGGGCUACACACACGCUACAAUGGCCAGUACAAAGGGCAGCGAAGCCGCGAGGUGGAGCGAAUCCCAGCAAAGCUGGUCGUAGUUCGGAUUGCAGGCUGCAACCCGCCUGCAUGAAGCUGGAGUUGCUAGUAACCGCGCGUCAGCCAUAGUGCGGUGAAUACGUUCCCNGGGGUUUGUACACACCGCCCGUCACGUCAUGGGAGUCGAUAACGCCUGAAGCCGGUGGCCUAGCUCGGAAGAGAGGGCGCUGUCUAAGGCG